UGAGGAACAUGACCUUCGGCGGGGGAUAGCCGGCCCAACGGCCGGGUAAUACCGCGUACGACCACUCGGGGACAUCCCCAGGUGGUGAAAGCAGCAAUGCGCCGAUGGAGUGCCUCGCGGCCUAUCAGCUAGUUGGUGAGGUACGGCUCACAAGGCGACGACGGGUAGCUGGUCUGAGAGGAUGGCCAGCCACAUUGGGACUGAGACACGGCCAGACCUCCGUACGGGAGCAG
rnacentral:rRNA from 1 species